rnacentral:SRP_RNA from 1 species
CGUUGGACAGCCAGCCUAGGCGCAACUCGCAGAGAGCGCGCUCAGUGAGGGGACCGCACUGGGCAAGGCUGGCGACGGCAGCAGGGUAUAGGGGGUUCCUCCUGUCCGCCGGGGCGAGAGGAGGUAUUGCAAGG